GGCCUUGUGGUCUAGUGGUAUGAUUCUCGCUUAGGGUGCGAGAGGUCCCGAAUUCGAUCUCCGGCAAGGCCC
rnacentral:tRNA from 1 species